ncrna:Shewanella baltica OS155 GEMM RNA
GGCAAACUAAUUGAAAAGUUAGGACGCAAAGCUUCCGGUCUAAGGUUGUAAAUGGAUUUUUUAGUGAACUAAGAUAGCGGAGUUGCCGCA